UGGGGAAUUUUGGACAAUGGGCGAAAGCCUGAUCCAGCAAUGCCGCGUGCAGGAUGAAGGCCUUCGGGUUGUAAACUGCUUUUGUACGGAACGAAAAAGCUUUCUCUAAUAAAGAGAGCUCAUGACGGUACCGUAAGAAUAAGCACCGGCUAACUACGUG
rnacentral:rRNA from 1 species